UACGUAGGGUGCAAGCGUUAAUCGGAAUUACUGGGCGUAAAGCGUGCGCAGGCGGUGAUGUAAGACAGGUGUGAAAUCCCCGGGCUUAACCUGGGAACUGCAUUUGUGACUGCAUCGCUGGAGUGCGGCAGAGGGGGAUGGAAUUCCGGCGUGUAGCAGUGAAAUGCGUAGAUAUGCGGAGGAACACCGAUGGCGAAGGCAAUCCCCUGGGCCUGCACUGACGCUCCAUGCACGAAAGCGUGGGGAGCAACAGG
rnacentral:rRNA from 1 species